CUGUGUAUGGUGUAGUGGUUUGAGUGUUAGAUUUGGACUCUGGAGAUCAGGGUUUAAAUCCCCACGCAGC